rnacentral:rRNA from 1 species
UAGGGAAUUUUGCGCAAUGGACGAAAGUCUGACGCAGCAAUGCUGCGUGAGUGAUGAAGGCCUUCGGGUCGUAAAGCUCUGUUGAGUGGGAAGAAACGUUCGGCGGUUAAUACCCGUCGUGCCUGACGGUACCACUCGAAGAAGCCCCGGCUAACUACGUGCCAGCAGCCGCGGUAAUACGUAGGGGGCAAGCGUUGUUCGGAAUUACUGGGCGUAAAGGGAGCGUAGGUGGGAAAGUAAGUUAGGAGUGUAAGACGUAGGCUUAACCUGCGGCCCGCUUCUAAUACUGCUUUUCUUGAGUAUGGGAGAGGGAGACGGAAUUCCAGGUGUAGCGGUGGAAUGCGUAGAUAUCUGGAAGAACAUCAGUUGCGAAGGCGGUCUCCUGGCCCAAUACUGACACUGAGGCUCGAAAGCUAGGGGAGCAAACA